rnacentral:rRNA from 1 species
AUGGCUCGCACUACAGCUACUAAGCUCGUGCUGGUCGCCCUGGUGGCGGCACUCCUCCUUGUAGCCUCCGACGUGGCAAUCUCCUGCGGCCAGGUGAACUCCGCCCUUGGCCCCUGCCUUUCCUAUGCACGCGGCAGCGGCGCCAGCCCGUCCGCGGCCUGCUGCAGCGGCGUUAGGAGAUUGGCCGGCCAAGUGCAGACCGCCGCUGACAAGAAAGCGGCAUGCUUGUGCAUCAAGAGUGCUGCCGGUGGGGUCAAAGAAGGCAAGGCCGCAGAGACCCCCUCCAAGUGCCGCGUCAGCGUCCCCUACAAGAUCAGCUCAACUGUGAACUGCAAUAAGAUCUAG